AGCCUCUUUGUGCCAAGGAGAUCCACGGCUUCAACACCACUGCAGGUGAAAAAUAUGCAAUUUUGAUUUGUAUUCAGCUAUUGAUUUUAGUUAUUUUCUUCGAUUACCAGAAUCAGCGAUGUUCCUUUCUCUCUUCUUCUUUCUCGGUUUACUUUCCCAAUCUUCUUUCUCAGCAUGGGUGAUUUUAUUUAUUAUUGUCAACUAUUCAAAACUAGACGAAAAAAAAAACCUUUACAGAUUUCUAAUUAAACUUCAGAACUUCUUCAUAUAGCUUCAAAGUUCAAAUUGGGGCUGCUUCAUAGUGGUUGGUUGUAGUUGCUUCUUUCCUUUGUAGUUGUUAAGCGUAGUAUUGCUGAAAAACAGAUGAAAAAACCCAGUGUGGCUUUGCCAUCUUUUCUCAAUUUUGGGAAAAACCCAUUCUUCAGCUCAACUGUCCACUUAUAAGUUCAUAUUUCGCAAGAAUAAUCUCCUAUCAAUCCAUAUUGUUUAUUGUAGUGUAUGCCAGACAUUGCUUUGCUUUCUUAGGUUGUAAUUCUGUUUUCUAACAAUCAAAAGAAAAAUGCUUAGUCAUAUGUGCAAAAAAUAAUGAAAACAGAUGAUGGGGCUACUUAGCUUUAUGUAAGAUGAUGAGGCUACUCGACUUUAUGCAAAAUGUAAUUUACACCUGUAGAUUGCUUCCCAUUCUAAAUAGUAACCAGUGAAUCUGUCACAACCAACAAACUGCAGUAACUAAUUCACAAUUAUACUAUAUUAUCAUUAAUAUAUUAAGUAUAUAUGGAACUUAUUACAAGUAAUAUUGAACAAAUAAACCGAGACACAAUUUUCAAUCUAACCAAAGUCCACAAUCCUCAAGUGUGAAAGACAUUCUCUGACCUUGUACAGACAAUAUUCUUUCCCUUUUUGGCAGAACAUAUGAUUUAUAGAACAAUCCACAAAAUUUUAUUCAAUAUUGGCACUUAACUUGCCUAUAUCUAACAUUCUAUAUUAAAAAAAAAAAUUGAAAUGCAAUAAUUAAAACAGAACAGCAAACAAACAAUAAAAAGAUAUAGUCUUCAAUGAAUGUAUUGAACCGAUCACAAGAUUAAAUGAGAUAUAGUUAGUUUUCAUAAAAUGUUCUAAUUUUCUUUAAAAAGCACCUACUAACUUGUCUCUUAUCUUUGUAAAUGAUAGAGUACCUAAAGGUUUUGUUAAGACAUCAGAGAGUUGUUCUUUAGUUGAGAUAUACUUAACAAAUAACUCUUUAUUUUGAACCCUUUCUCUGACAAAGUUGAAAUCAAUUCCAAUAUGCUUUGUUCUUGGGUGAUAUACUGGAUUAGCUGAAAGAUACAAAGCUCCAAUAUUAUCACACCACAAGGUAGGUACUUGUAUGUGACUACCAAGUUCUUUUAAUAGUGCCACAACCCAAAUUAACUCUUGAGUUGCUGUUGCCAGGCUCCUAAAUUCAGCUUCACAGCUGGAUUUAGAAACAGUGGGUUGUUUCUUAGAACUCCAAGAAAUCAAGUUGCCUCCUAAGAAUACUAAGAAUCCUCCUUGACUUCUACAGUCUGUUUUAUCUCCUGCCCAGUCACUAUCUGGAAAAACAUGUAUGGUUGGAUUCUUGACUGGUUUUAAAAUUAUCCUAUGAUUUAUUGUACCAGCUAGAUAUCGAAACAACUUCUUUACUUCUAUCCAGUGUUCUUCACAAGGAGAGGACAUGAACUGACAUACUUUGUUUACUGCAAAAGCAAUAUCAGGUCUUGUAAUAGAAAGAUACUGAAGGCUUCCCACAGCACUUCUGUAGAGCCUUGGAUCCUUAAUUGGACCUGGUUUUUUGUAGAUUAAACUUUUCUUAUAUAUGGGAGUUUUAGAGGGUUUGAUGUUACUAAAUCCAAAUUUAUUCAGUAAGUCUCUAAUAUACUUAGUUUGUGUAAGUUGAAGUCCAUUGUUUAUGUAUCUCACUUGUACUCCUAAGAAAUAUGAAGGCUUGCUCAUAUCCUUGACUCUGAAUUCCUUGUUAAGAGAUGAUAUAAUAUCAUCAAUUUCAGUGUCAUUUGAACCUGUGAGGAUGAUAUCAUCCACAUAAAUUAGGAAAAAUACUUUUCCUUUUGUUGUUAUUCUUGUAAACAAUGAAGGGUCAGAGAUGUUGUCUUGAAACCCUUGUUUAAUUAAGGAAUUUCUAAGUUUUUCAAACCACGCUCUAGGUGCUUGCUUUAGCCCAUAAAGUGAUUUUUGUGCCAUGUUUCUGAUUUCCAAAAUUAUUCUUGCUGGAAUGAUAAUUGUUUUUGGAAUUAUACCUUUGUUUAUUUGCAUAAUUGAUAGAAAAAGAAUUCUCUAAAGAUGGUUGAUUAUUCUUAGCCAUCCUUAUCUCAUGAUUUAAUAAAAACCCUUGAAUAUCAUCAACUGAUAGUGCUUCUUGCCCUGGCCUAGUAGUAAUGGCAGUGACAAGUGGGUCAUAGUCAGAUCCAAGGCCACCUAGAAUGAAGACAGCCAAGUCUUUAUCUGAGAUGCUAUCACCAGCUAGUGAUAGUGCAUUUCCAAUUUGCAUCAUCUUGGAAAUGUAUUCUUCCAUGCUAUUAUCUCCCUUCUUUGUUGUCUAUAAGUUAAUCUUAAUUGAAGAGUACGUAUUUGGGAGAGAUGCAAAAACCUUACCUAGAGUAUUCCAAACUCCUUUUGCUGUGGUGCACAUGCAUACUUUAGGCAACACAUCUUCAAGAAUUGAGGUCAUCAGCCACCCCAUCACAAGAUUAUCUUGUUGGACAAAUUCUUCAUAGUUAUAGCCUUCUAAAUUUCUUGGCAUAAUACCUUCUCUAUUUGGAAUUAAUGUCGGUGUCACCACAGUACUAUCAACAAAGCCUAGCAGCUUGCUUCCCCUUAAAACUGCAGCCACCUGAGCCCUCCAUAUAGCAUAAUUGUUUUUUGUUAACUUCACUGUUUUAACAUGAUACAUGUUAAUCACCGAUAAGGUUGGUCUUUGGGCAGAAGAGGAAGAUGGAGCCGAGAAAGAAUCCAUCAAAUUCUUUCUUGAAAGAUUGGAAAGGAAAGGGGGAAAAAAGUGGAAAGGAAACUAAUCGAAAAAGAAAAGAAAAAUGAUAACAAAAUAAAAAGAAAGAAACGAUAACAAAAGAAAGGAAAGAAAGAAACGGAAAGAAGAAGAAGAAAAAAUAAUAAUAAUAAUAAAAUAAACUCAAACCGUAGCCAACUCGUUACCAAUCCCGGAAAUAUGUUGAAACGAUAACAAAAUCGGAAGAAUAAGUUGAAACUUCUUUUAGAAGCUUCCAGAAAACAUCGCAGGAUGAUCCCUAAAUACGGAAGUGACGAGCCCCAAUAUUGGCCCCAAAUUACAAGGACAGCAGCAGCGUGUGUAAACCUGCUAAGAUGAAAGGGGAAAAAAAAUUAAAAAAUAAAAUCCUGCUAAGAUGACGUGUGUCAACCAGCUCUCGAUACCAUGUCAACUAUUCAAAACUGCAAUUCAUUCACUCAAUUUCUUCUUAAUACAUUGUUAACUUUAUACUAACUAAUAUUGUGAAUAUUGUUAAUAACACCUUUAUUUAUAUCUAAUGACAAUAUUAUCUAAUAAUUAUGAUAAA
rnacentral:lncRNA from 1 species